AACGAACGCUGGCGGCAUGCCUAACACAUGCAAGUCGAACGAUACCUUCGGGUCUAGUGGCGCACGGGUGCGUCACGCGAGGGAACCUGCCCGUAGGUUCGGAAUAACUCACCGAGUGGGAUGCUAAUACCGGCUGUUGUCCUCGGACUAAAGAUUUAACGCCGUUGGAUGGGCCCGCGCUGGAUUAGAUACUUGGUAGGGUCAACAGCUACCAAGGCGAGAUUCGAUAGCUGGUCUGAGAGGACGAUCAGCCACACCUGAACUGAGACACGGCCCCGACUCGUACGGGAUGGAGCAGUGUAGUACAUUCGACACCGCGUCAACGCCUGAUGCAGCAGUGACUCGUAGGGUAAGGAUGGCAGAGGGUUGUAAGAUGCUACUAUCCGUGCGGAUAAUGACCGGACCCUGAGAAGAAGCCCCGGCUAACUCCGUG
rnacentral:rRNA from 1 species